UUAAUUAUAUUUUGAAUACAUGAAGCUUCAGUGAGCUGCCCUUUAAUAUCAGAUAGUGUGUGUAUGGUGUUGGGUAAUAAUUUAGAAGUUUUAAGUGAUGAUUAUAUACCGCCCCAGUCUGAUGGAGUUGAUUGAUUGGUUUUUCUGAAAUCUGGGUGAACAGACAUUAUAUACAUAUUUAGACCAUCUGUUAAUAGCAUUAUUCUCUUUGUUACAGUGGCAGGAAUUUGUAUUAUGCUGCCUUCAUGAACAAAAUUGCUAUUGUUGCAGAAGUUUGUAAAUGGUGAAGUGUAAGCUGGUGGCAUGGACAGGAUUGGAAUUUAAACCGUGGCAGGAAUUUGUAUUAUGCUGCCUUCAUGGACGAAAUUGCUAUUGAGGUUAGAGUUUGCAAAUGAGGAUGUUUAGUACAAUGCUGCCAUCUUGAACAGUACUGUAUUGUAAUUCUUGUUGUGGCAGGAAUUUGUAAAGGAAGAUGUAUAGUGCUGCCAUCAUGGACGAAAUGGAUAUUACAAUUGAAGGUGUAAAUGCUAAAGUGAAAGCAUGAACAGGAUUGAUAAUUAAGCUGUGGCAGGAAUUUGUGUUAUGCUGCCUUCAUGGCCACAAUUGCAAUUGUGGUAAGAGUUUGUAAAUGAAGAUGUGUUUAUUACAACACUGCAAUCUUGAACAGCAUUGUAAUUCUUGUUGAAGUUGUAAAUGCUAAAGUGAAAGCUGCUAACAUGAACAGGAUUGAUAUUUAAGCUGUGGCAGGAAUUUGUAUUAUGCUGCCUUCAUGGACCAAAUUGCUAUUGUGGCAGGAAUAUGUAAAGGGAGAUGUAUAUUGCUGCCAUCAUGGACAAAAUUGAUGAAGUGACAGUAAAUCAUGCACGAAUUGUGACAAUGAUGGUGACUAUUUUAUUUUAAAUAUUUGAUAAUGAUUUGUCAAACAGCCAAAGUGUUAUGAUGCAUUUUGCCUUAGUUUUUCCAAUUAGCACUGUUACAAGACUUAUUAUUUACACGACUACUUAAUGUAUAGUGUUAAAAAUACACUGCUGAUAUAAUGCGACAUAAAUGUUUAUUACUGAACAACCGUAGUUGCACCGUUUUUAAAUUCUCAUGACUUGUAGUACAGAAAGUCUCCCCUAUAAACUACAUACUUUUUGUAUGUAGUUCCUUUUCUACUUUCAAAUCCUUUUAUUUUAGGAUUUGAAAGUAGAUACAGGACGGUUUCUCUUACGAGCUUUUGCUUCCACAAUCAUUUGUGCUUGUCUCUUGAUGAACUUUCUCGUCAGAGAUUCUUCCUCUUCCCCACUGUCUCCAGCUUCCUCCACCUGUAAAUAAAGCUCACUUUAGGGCCCCGCUUCUACGUGUUACGUGAUUAUUGAAACUACAUGUACAAACACAAAUUUUAAGUCACUGUUGUUGUGUUCUCUUCAGUAGUUAGGCAAAUAUGUAAUAUUUAUUAGUCUUCAUAAUGUCUAGACUUUUUCCAACCAUAAUUUUAGAAAUGUCAAUUUAGCCACUAAUUGUUACUAUUUAUGUAUAUAUAAUGUGUCCAUGUCAUAAUAAAGUAUUGUCUUUGAUGCAUGAUUUUGUCUGUUACAUUAUAUUGAGGCGAUUCAGAAUACAGAAGUGGUCAUGGCGCACCUGUUGUUGGGCUGCCUUAGUGGUUGCUCCUGAACCAGGGAAAGAAACUCGAAUGUUUUCUGGCGAUGUCAACAUUCCUCCAUUCUCUCUCUCCUCUUCUACCAUCUCUGCCAGCUUUAAUAUAGAAAACUGUUGAGAAUAAGUUGGGGAGAUAGUGGAUUAAAUACCUUAGAAGCCACGACAUCACACGAGAUGAGAUGAACAUAUCCUCACCUCCAGUUUCUCAGCCACGUGUUCAAGACCAGCUCUGACUCCUGCCAGCACCUUCAGGGU